rnacentral:tRNA from 1 species
GCCAGCUUGGCAUAGUGGUUUGAGAGUUUGACUACAACUCUGGAGAUCAGGGUUCAACUCCCAGCUCUGCCA